GUUUCAGGUGGACAGCAAAGGAAUUCAGCCAUACAUAUACCUCUAUCCACUCCCAACCAUUGAAUUUUGACUAAGACACCUUAGCAAAGACAUAAAGAGAAUUCACAUAAUGAACAGGAACACUGGUAAAUUUUUCACUCAUAAAUGUUCUGUGCAAACCACAUGGGUACAAAUCCACCUAUAUUGUAAAUUCUAGUGUGGCUCUGGAAAACUAAGCAGAUAUGGCUGCCUCUUGCCACAUACAGAUAAAACCCACAAUGGCUCCCAUUGGUUCAAAGGAUUUAUACCUCCUGAAGCUUUCACAUCCAUUACCUCAUUUGCCUUCUACCAAAACUCAACCAGACAAGAAGGAGACUUUAGCAUCCCCAUUUCCAGAAACUCGAGUAAAGGCUGUGGCUUAGGCUUUCCGCUUAUUCCUGCUUCUGCCUCCUGAUCAAGACCUGACGCCUCCCCUGUGGCCCUAAGUGGCGUGCUGUGUCCCCUUCUCUCAGGAAGGGUCAAAAGCUGAUGCUGUGCUGGAGAGCCAGCUUGCACCAUGUAGAUAAAGUCAGUACCCACCCGGUACGGCAGGGCAACAACAAAGAAGGAACCUGGGUCCCCUUUCAGCUUCCUGGAGCAGACGCCUAAUCUUGGACCAACUCCUACCUAUGGGCAAGAGCGUGAGAAAGAAGGGAAUGUCUAACUUGAUUAGCCCUCUCUAUUUUGAGGGAAAGAAACCAUCUGUAAGGGAAAUUUCCCACUUGCUGCUUGAACUGUUUCACCUUUUGUUAUCCUAACCACCAAGGUCUUCAGACUUGGAAUGAGACUUACACCAGCAGCCCCAUCCCACCCCCAACCCCCUUUCUUGAGCUUUUGACCUUCGACUCAAUGGCACCGCCAGCUUUCCUGCUUCUCCAAAAGGCAUAUAGACAGAUUGUGGGAUUUCUCAACCACCAUAAUCAUACUCUUCCAGCUGCAUCUUAACUGCUCUCACUGGUUCCCAGCUCCCACCACGAGCUCGUCCUUAAUACUAGCGCCAGGUGGGUCUUCCUGAGCUACAGCUUUAUUCAGGACACUUCACAAUUUUAAAAUCACCAGUAGCCCCCUGUUGUCUUGGGGUUAGCAUUCAAGGCUGCUGCUGCUGCUAAAUCGCCUCAGUCGUGUCUGACUCUGUGCAACCCCAUA
ensembl:lncRNA